rnacentral:rRNA from 1 species
UAACGCGUGGAUAACCUGCCUCACACAGGGGGAUAACAGUUAGAAAUGACUGCUAAUACCGCAUAAGCGCACAGUCUCGCAUGGGACAGUGUGAAAAGCUGAGGUGGUGUGAGAUGGAUCCGCGUCUGAUUAGGCAGUUGGCGGGGUAACGGCCCACCAAACCGACGAUCAGUAGCCGGCCUGAGAGGGUGAACGGCCACAUUGGGACUGAGACACGGCCCAAACUCCUACGGGAGGCAGCAG